rnacentral:rRNA from 1 species
UACAGAGGGUGCGAGCGUUAAUCGGAAUUACUGGGCGUAAAGCGCGUGUAGGCGGCUAUGUAAGUCGGGCGUGAAAUCCCACGGCUCAACCGUGGAAGUGCACCCGAAACUGCGUAGCUAGAGUCCUGGAGAGGAAGGUGGAAUGCUUGGUGUAGAGGUGAAGUUCGUAGAUAUCAAGCGGAACACCGGUGGCGAAGGCGGCCUUCUGGACAGUGACUGACGCUGAGACGCGAAAGCGUGGGGAGCAAACAGG